CUUCCUAUGGAUCUCAAUUCUUUUGACAACUUGGCGCCCAACGUGGGGCCCCAAUACCUGUCGCUCUCUUCACAUCAGCGGACCUGAAGACCUUGCAAGGCGGGGGUAAGAAAAAUAAAUCCUCCUAAAAGUCCUCCACCUCAGGGCUCUUAAAGCUCCGUUUGGUCAGGGAGGCCAGGUUCCGUGAAGAGUGGGACAGUGACGGGGCCAACCAAGGAGGGGAGACGGAUCAGCCAGACAAACAUUGAGUCAGGGACUCAAAUCUUCAAAAGGGAAUUCCACAGCAAAGAAGAAAUGGAGGACCCAGACGAGUUGAUGAUUCAUCGGCGCUACUAGUCAAUAAACCAGGUCAUGCACUCACACACACACAUACAUACCAGGACACAGAAGAUGAGGAGGAAGAAGAAGUAUGUUAACUAGAAAACACUGAAGUAUUUUUGAGUAUGGACCAAAAGCCAUAGUCACCCUGUUGGUUAAAAAAAUCGUAAAACUUGUUUUCUAAACGAUACUGAAGCAUGCAGAAUAAUAAUUGAAGAAGAUGAAGGCGGUAGUAAAUUGCCACUUCAACACUGUAAUGGUAUGAAGGUGAGAUCUGAGACACUAAUCUAAGACAAAAAGAAUUUGUUUAAAUUUGUUACAAUAUUGAGUCAUGGGAUUACCCAUGUCUCAACAGGAGGGAUGGUAUCCACGAUAGACUAGACUACAUGGAUGUUAAAACCACUAAAAUGUGUUUGUGCCUCAUGAUUAAUGUAUUCUAAGCACAAUGCUCAAGGCAGACUACAUCAAAAACCAGAUCCAGCACCCACAGGAGGGCCAAUCAAUCCAGGAGAUUGGGUGUUGGUGAAGUGGUCAGCUUCACGCUGGGAAGGCUCCUAUCAACUACUACUGUCGACACCUACAGCAGUACACAUAGCUGAAAGACAGACAAUGGAUCACACACUUCAAAAGAGCACAAAUGCCAGUCAGAUAAGUAGAAGCAUUCACCAUGCCAGAAUUAAAACUGUGUUUAAUAACUGUUUCAUGUAUGACCACAAUUGCAUUCCUUAUUUUAAAUAUAGUGACAUAAGGCCAGGUAUGAUAAAAUGAGGAAUAGAUCAAUAGGAACAAUCUAGAUGGGACACUAGGAGAGGUGCAGUGACAAUGCGUGUACUAUUGUCACAAUUAAGUGAGUUUAAGUUAGAUUUAGUUUCCGGGGCAGCCUAGAUCUGUGGCCGUCACAGGGGGCCUUGUGAGAUCCAAAACCUUGGAAAAUAAAGUUUUGGGGGGUUGAAAAAGACUGCCUCGUUUGGUAUCAAGAGCGAGAAUCCUCCCUGUGUCCUGAGGGAAACAAGAGAUGUGUAAAAUAUGUGUAAAAUACUCAAGGAGUGUUAUAAAGAGAAAUGCACCAGCAGGAUGGUUUGAUCACUCCUGGCUUGAUGGGGAACUGUUAAUAAAAUGAUUGAUAAAAAUGUGUAUUAUAAUCAACAGAGAUUUUUGACUUCACUAAGGAAGCAAUUGGAAGCAUACAUCAAGAGUUAGAUAAGACUAGUUUAAUGGCAUGGCAAAAUAGGAUGACUUUAGACAUGAUGCUGCUGAAAAGGGAGGAAUACUGUAUAAUGUAGAAUGUUUGGAGAUAUGUGUUGUACAUUUAUUCCUAAUACAGCACCUGAUGGCAGCAUCUAAGGCAAUGAAUGGAUUAAUCACCCUAUAUGUAGAAGGACUGUUACAGAGACUCAGGACACCGCUUUGAAAAA